GUUAAUAUAGUGUUGCUAUAGCUGUUCAAAAAAAUUGGAUUUAAAAAAAAGUUUAAAAUUGUUACAGGAAAGAGAAUAUUUUUUCUCAAAAUCUUCCCACUUUCUGACCAAUUUGCAUUACAUUAUUUACCUGAAGUAACAAAGCUUUUUUUAGCAAAGUUUAAAG